GAGUUACAUUACAGGUACAAUGAUGAACAUUGUGGCUCUCCAUUAUAUUGCACAGCCUGACUUCAUUCAUACGGGUUUCUUUAAAUAGUGCAAAAUACUUUACACAGGAAUGUGUUUGGAAGGGCCUUCGCAACCAAAAUGCGGAAAAGAAAUAUCUUACAAAUGACCAUGAACAUAUAUUAGAGAGACAGGGGAGGGGGAAAAUUAGAAAAAAAAGUUACAAUCUGUACACAGGAAUUUCCAUAGACAACCAAAAAGUUGCCUCUCUCCUGGGAGAAGCAGCAGGCCUCUGACCUAUGCAGGUCUGGCAUUUGUGCUAAGGUAAUUUUUUGGAGUCAAUC
rnacentral:lncRNA from 1 species